UUGAUUUAUUCAAAAAUUUAACUCAGACGACCGGUUUAUUAACAAGAGUUUGGUUUAACUCUGGCGGGAACUCGCCUGGGCUUUUGAGGGCCCCGGCGGCUCGGACGGACCGAAGCGGUCCCGCCAAAGCAACAAGGUGGUUAUAACAACAAAGGGUUGGAGGUCGGGCGCCGAGGCACCCUUACUCUUUAAUGAUCCUUCCGCAGGUUCACCUACGGAAA
rnacentral:misc_RNA from 1 species